AUUGAACGCUGGCGGCAGGCCUAACACAUGCAAGUCGAGCGGAUGAAGGGAGCUUGCUCCUGGAUUCAGCUGCGGACGGGUGAGUAAUGCCUAUGAAUCUGCCUGUUAGUGGGGGAUAACGUCCGGAAACGGGCGCUAAUACCGCAUACGUCCUGAGGUAGAAAGUUGGGGAUCUUCGGACCUCACGCUAUCAGAUGAGCCUAGGUCGGAUUAGCUAGUUGGUGGGGUAAAGGCCUACCAAGGCGACGAUCCGUAACUGGUCUGAGAGGAUGAUCAGUCACACUGGAACUGAGACACGGUCAAGAAGCCUACGGGAGGCAGCAGUGGGGAAUAUUGGACAAUGGGCGAAAGCCUGAUCCAGCCAUGCCGCGUGUGUGAAGAAGGUCUUCGGAUUGUAAAGCACUUUAAGGUGGGAGGAAGGGCAGUAAGUUAAUACCUUGCUGUUUUGACGUUACCAACAGAAUAAGCACCGGCUAACUUCGUG
rnacentral:rRNA from 1 species